rnacentral:rRNA from 1 species
UACGUAGGGUGCAAGCGUUGUCCGGAAUUAUUGGGCGUAAAGAGCUCGUAGGCGGUUUGUUGCGUUCGGCUGUGGAAAUCCCGAGGCUCAACCUCGGGUCUGCAGUCGAUACGAGCAAACUAGAGUGUUGCAGGGGAGACUGGAAUUCCUGGUGUAGCGGUGAAAUGACGCAGAUAUCAGGAGGAACACCGGUGGCGAAGGCGGGUCUCUGGGCAACAACUGACGCUGGAGGAGCGAAAGCGUGGGGAGCGAACAGG